UACGUAGGAGGCAAGCGUUGUCCGGAUUUAUUGGGUUUAAAGGGUGCGUAGGCGGCUUUGUAAGUCAGUGGUGAAAUAUGGCAGCUCAACUGUCAAGGUGCCAUUGAUACUGCGGAGCUUGAGUACAGAUGAGGUAGGCGGAAUUGACGGUGUAGCGGUGAAAUGCUUAGAUAUCGUCAAGAACACCUAUAGCGAAGGCAGCUUACUAGGCUGUAACUGACGCUGAGGCACGAAAGUGUGGGGAUCAAACAGG
rnacentral:rRNA from 1 species